rnacentral:misc_RNA from 1 species
AGCAGCCGCGGUAAUUCCAGCUCCGAUAGCGUAUAUUAAAGUUGUUGCAGUUAAAAAGCUCGUAGUUGAAUUUCGGGAUCAAUACGUCGGUCGUGCUUCGGUACGUACUGGUGUCAUUGAUUUCUCCUUCUGACGAACCAUGAUGUCAUUAACUUGGUGUCAUGGGAAAUCAGGACUGUUACUUUGAAAAAUUGAGUGUUUAAAGCAGGCUCGCGCUUGAAUACAUUAGCAUGGAAUAAUGAAAUAGGACGUUUGAUUCUAUUUUGUUGGUUUCUAGGAUCGACGUAAUGAUUAAUAGGGAUAGUUGGGGGCAUUAGUAUUCAAUUGUCAGAGGUGAAAUUCUUGGAUUUAUUGAAGACUAACUACUGCGAAAGCAUUUGCCAAGGAUGUUUUCAUUAAUCAAGAACGAAAGUUAGGGGAUCGAAGACGAUCAGAUACCGUCGUAGUCUUAACCAUAAACUAUGCCGACUAGGGAUCGGAUGAUGUUAAUUUUAAUGACUCAUUCGGUACG